GAUGAACGCUGGCGGCGUGCCUAAUACAUGCAAGUCGAGCGAACGGACGCGAAGCUUGCUUCCCUGAUGUUAGCGGCGGACGGGUGAGUAACACGUGGAUAACCUACCUCUAAGACUGGGUUAACCUCGGGACACCGGAGCUCAUACCGGAUAAUAUUUUGAACCGCAUGGUUCAAAAGUGAAAGACGGUCUUGCUGUCACUUUUAGAUGGCUCCGCGCUGCAUGAGCUAGUUGGUAAGGUAACGGUUUUCCAAGGCAACGAUGCAUAGCCGACCUGAAAGGGAGAUCGACUACACGGUAACGGAGGCAGAGCCCAGACUCCUAGGGGAGGCAACAGUAGGGAAUCUUCCGCGAGGGGCGAGAGCCUGACGGAGCAACGUCGCGGGAGUGAUGAAGCUCUUCUGAUCGGAAAAUGCUGUUAUUCGUGAGGAACAUAUGUGUAAGUAACUGUGCAGAUCUUGACGGUACCUAAGCAGAAAGCCACGGCUAACUACGUG
rnacentral:rRNA from 1 species